rnacentral:rRNA from 1 species
AUUGAACGCUGGCGACAGGCCUAACACAUGCAAGUCGAGCGGAAACGAUGGAAGCUUGCUUCCAGGCGUCGAGCGGCGGACGGGUGAGUAAUGCAUGGGAAUCUGCCCGAUAGUGGGGGAUAACCUGGGGAAACCCAGGCUAAUACCGCAUACGUCCUACGGGAGAAAGCAGGGGAUCUUCGGACCUUGCGCUAUCGGAUGAGCCCAUGUCGGAUUAGCUUGUUGGUGAGGUAAUGGCUCACCAAGGCGACGAUCCGUAGCUGGUCUGAGAGGAUGAUCAGCCAUAUCGGGACUGAGACACGGCCCGAACUCCUACGGGAGGCAGCAGUGGGGAAUAUUGGACAAUGGGCGAAAGCCUGAUCCAGCCAUGCCGCGUGUGUGAAGAAGGCCCUCGGGUUGUAAAGCACUUUCAGUGGGGAAGAAAGCCUCGGGAUUAAUACUUCCGAGGAAGGACAUCACCCACAGAAGAAGCACCGGCUAACUCCGCGCCAGCAGCCGCGGUAAUACGGAGGGUGCGAGCGUUAAUCGGAAUUACUGGGCGUAAAGCGCGCGUAGGCGGUCUGAUCAGCCGGUUGUGAAAGCCCCGGGCUCAACCUGGGAACGGCAUCCGGAACUGUCAAGCUAGAGUGCAGGAGAGGAAGGUAGAAUUCCCGGUGUAGCGGUGAAAUGCGUAGAGAUCGGGAGGAAUACCAGUGGCGAAGGCGGCCUUCUGGACUGACACUGACACUGAGGUGCGAAAGCGUGGGUAGCAAACA